AUACUAAUACAAUCAAAUACAAUACAAUAUUGUAUAUCAAAUGUUCCGAAACUGCAUAGGAAUAGGUAAAGUUAGGCGGUUUAGAUGAUAUAACUUUUGUUGACCCACCAUCCUAAGAGAAAUAAAAAAGAAAUGCAAUUUUUUUUCUUUGGGAAUCUGUGAAAUAAAAAUCAAACCUAACUUUGUAAGUUUUUUUUUUUUUUUUUAAGGUAAUAAUUCUAACUUGUAAAUAUUUUGGUGAAUAAUUCUUCUAACUUGUAACGUCAUGUCUUCAUUUCUUCAAAAAAGAAAAAACGAAAAAACAAAAAAAACAAAAAACAAAAAGAUGUAACUUCAUUGACACGGCAAUCACAUUUUAUCGGUUGGGGUUUGGGUUUAAUCAUCAAAUUGCUUAGGAGUAUGAAAAGCCCAAUGGGCUCAAUUGAAAAGAGUAUAUAUUAUAAAAUGGGAGUGUGGGGAGUGGUGGAAUACGCAUACGGCGUUCGGUAGAUGGAAUACAAUGAGAAAAUACCACGUGCGCUUAUACGGGAAUAGCAGCAACGGAUAAUCCAAGCUCCAAUUUUUCCUGAAACACCAAAAACAAAGAAAAGACUCUUUCUUUCUCUCUCAGUUUCUCAGUCUCAGUUAUUGUUGAGCUGCAAAGCAAUUAGCAAUGGCGAAAUUGAUAGAGGCCUCGUUGUUGGUGAACCCAGUUUUCCAUUCCGAUUCCAAUCCAUACUCCGAUAAUAACAUGAAGCUCUCAAGAUUCAUUUCCUUCAACUCCAAGAAACAACCACCACCCACUCUGCUUCUUCUCCGCCUACACUCUUCCACCACUUCUUGUUUUGCUGAUUCAACUCCUCCAUCUCCCUCCCCUCCUCCGCAUCCGCCCGGAGACCUUGACUUGGUUCUUGAUUCCGCUCCCGACCGCUCCCGAGACCGCCGUAGAGCCGUACGCUUGGCCUGGGAGAAACUGGUUCGGUGGUCCAAGUUUUGGCGCUCCAAAGCCAAGACCGACGUCCUCGAGCGCACCAAAAAGAUUGUGGUGCUUGGAGGUGGAUCUUUUGGCACCGCAAUGGCUGCCCAUGUUGCAGAUAGAAAGGCUCAGUUGGAAGUUAACAUGCUUGUACGUGAUCCUCAAAUUUGUCAUUCUAUCAAUGAGAAUCAUUAUAACUGUAAGUACUUCCCAGAACACAAGCUACCAGGAAAUGUAAUUGCCACAACCGAUGCCAAAUCUGCUUUGCUUGGUGCUGACUAUUGUUUUCAUGCCGUCCCUGUGCAGUUCAGCUCUUCUUUUCUAGAGGGAAUUGCAGAUUAUGUUGAUCCAAGUUUGCCAUUCAUAUCCCUUAGCAAGGGCUUGGAGCUUAAUACAUUAAGGAUGAUGUCUCAAAUUAUUCCCCGAGCAUUGAAGAAUCCACGCCAGCCUUUUAUUUCAUUAUCAGGGCCCUCUUUUGCAUUAGAACUGAUGAACAAAUUACCUACAGCAAUGGUUGUGGCAUCUAAAGACAAGAAAUUGGCGAAUGCAGCUCAGCAACUUCUUGCUUCUAGUCAUUUAAGGAUCAGCACUUCAAGUGAUGUCACAGGUGUGGAAAUUACAGGUGCACUGAAAAAUGUGCUUGCAAUAGCUGCAGGAAUUGUGGAAGGAAUGAAUCUUGGUAAUAAUUGUAUGGCAGCUCUUGUUGCACAAGGCUGUUCUGAGAUACGAUGGUUGGCCACAAAGAUGGGUGCAAAGGCGACAACGAUAACUGGUCUUUCAGGAACCGGAGAUAUCAUGCUUACAUGUUUUGUGAAUCUUUCCAGAAACAGAAGAGUAGGGGUCCGUCUUGGAUCUGGGGAGAAGCUUGAUGAUAUACUGAGUUCCAUGAAUCAGGUAGCUGAAGGUGUAUCAACAGCUGGAGCUGUGGUCGCAUUGGCCCAGAAAUAUAAAGUGAAGAUGCCAGUUUUAACAGCAGUUGCUCGGAUUAUUGAUAAUGAAUUGACACCGAAGAAGGCUGUUCUUGAAUUGAUGCGCCUUCCUCAGGUUGAAGAAGUGUGACUUGGACUGGACUCUUUCAAAGAAUAAGUACUUGGUUCUUAAACCGAAAGCAUAGGUUGAUCAAGACAUUUAUUUGUAAAGAUUUCACACACAUAUACAAUUCUUUCUCUAUUUUUGUUUUGUGCUCUCUCCUCAAACUUGGGAGUGGAAAGCAAUUUUUGGAAGUCAGGGAUUAUAGUUUCUGCAAAGCUUGGCCACUUUGUCAAUGCGGUAAAACCGAAGGAGAUAGUUCUGAAUGUUAAGGGGGAGCUGCUAAGCGUUCUUCCUGGCCAGCACUGGCCGCCUUAGUGUGCAUCCUCCUUCACACAAUUGGAUCAUACCACACUCUUACAGCACAGAGUCCCCUGCAGAAGGUGUUCAACUCCUCUGACAGCAAGGUGUUCAAAGUCCAGGUAGUAAACAAGUCCCAUCUUAUCCCUGGAAUUUGCUGUUGCAGCAAUGGUCAUGGCAUCUAAAGACAAGAAAUUGGCGAAUGGAAUCAGCAUUUCAAGUUAUUGUAUUUUCAUUAUGUCCACUGAACUCUGUGAGACUGUAACUAGGCAUAUAACUUGCUUGUAACUGCCAAACCCAGCCAUCAUAAUUCUAUCUCCAAUUUCAUUAUAGCAUGGCUUCUAUACGGUGCAAUGCCUAAAACAGUUUGUGUAAAAUUAAGUGGACUGGCCCAUCUUCUAUAUUUCUUUCUUAUUUCUUAACAUUGUUUAGCUAGCAAGCUAGAGCAUCUCCGAUAAUAAAUUCUAUUUUGGCA